UACGUAGGUGGCAAGCGUUGUCCAGAUUUACUGGGCGUAAAGAGCGCGCAGGCGGUCGUCCAAGUCGCGUGUGAAAGCCCCCGGCUCAACUGGGGAGGGUCACGCGAUACUGGUCGACUCGAAGGCAGGAGAGGGUAGUGGAAUUCCCGGUGUAGUGGUGAAAUUCGUAGAUAUUCGCAAGAACACCAGUGGCGAAGGCGGCUCACUGGCCCGAUACUGACGCUGAGGCACGAAAGCGUGGGGAGCAAACAGG
rnacentral:rRNA from 1 species